GUCGAAUGACUUGGAAAAGUCAGUCAAAGAGGGUAAAAACCCCGUAGACGAAAUGUGGAAGACACCUAGGAGGAUCCUGAGUACGGCGGAACACGAGAAAUUCCGUCGGAAUCCGGGAGGACCAUCUCCCAAGGCUAAAUACUCCCUAGUGACCGAUAGUGAACCAGUACCGUGAGGGAAAGGUGAAAAGCACCCCGGAAGGGGAGUGAAAUAGAACCUGAAACCGUGUGCCUACAACAAGUCAAAGCCCGUUAAUGGGUGAUGGCGUGCCUUUUGUAGAAUGAACCGGCGAGUUACGAUUGCAUGCGAGGUUAAGUUGAAGAGACGGAGCCGCAGCGAAAGCGAGUCUGAAUAGGGCGUUUGAGUAUGUAGUCGUAGACCCGAAACCAUGUGAUCUACCCAUGUCCAGGUUGAAGGUGCGGUAAAACGCACUGGAGGACCGAACCCACGUACGUUGAAAAGUGCGGGGAUGAGGUGUGGGUAGCGGAGAAAUUCCAAACGAACUUGGAGAUAGCUGGUUCUCUCCGAAAUAGCUUUAGGGCUAGCCUCGGAAUUGAGAAUGAUGGAGGUAGAGCACUGUUUGGACUAGGGGCCCAUCUCGGGUUACCGAAUUCAGAUAAACUCCGAAUGCCAUUCAUUCAUAUCCGGGAGUCAGACUGUGAGUGAUAAGAUCCAUAGUCGAAAGGGAAACAGCCCAGACCACCAGCUAAGGUCCCAAAAUAUAUGUUAAGUGGAAAAGGAUGUGGGGUUGCACAGACAACUAGGAUGUUGGCUUAGAAGCAGCCACCAUUUAAAGAGUGCGUAAUAGCUCACUAGUCGAGUGACCCUGCGCCGAAAAUGUACCGGGGCUAAACAUAUUACCGAAGCUGUGGAGUACACCUUUAGGUGUAUUGGUAGGAGAGCGUUCUAAGGGCGUCGAAGGCAGAUCGUGAGGACUGCUGGAGCGCUUAGAAGUGAGAAUGCCGGUAUGAGUAGCGAAAGACAGGUGAGAAUCCUGUCCACCGAAUGACUAAGGUUUCCUGGGGAAGGCUCGUCCGCCCAGGGUUAGUCGGGACCUAAGCCGAGGCCGAUAGGCGUAGGCGAUGGAUAACAGGUUGAUAUUCCUGUACCCGUUGUUUUUGUUUGAGCAAUGGAGGGACGCAGGAGGCUAAGGAAUGCAGACGAUCGGAAAUGUCUGUCCAAGCAGUAAGUCUGAAGAGGAGUCAAAUGCUUCUUUUCUUAAGGACAAGCUGUGAUGGGGAGGGAAAUAAUAGUACCGAAGUUCCUGAUGUCACACUGCCGAGAAAAGCUUCUAGUGAGAAAACAGCGGCCCGUACCGCAAACCGACACAGGUAGUCGAGGAGAGAAUCCUAAGGUGAGCGAGAGAACUCUCGUUAAGGAACUCGGCAAAAUGACCCCGUAACUUCGGGAGAAGGGGUGCUGAUCAUACGAUCAGCCGCAGUGAAUAGGCCCAAGCGACUGUUUAUCAAAAACACAGGUCUCUGCAAAAUCGUAAGAUGAAGUAUAGGGGCUGACGCCUGCCCGGUGCUGGAAGGUUAAGAGGAGUGCUUAGCGCAAGCGAAGGUACGAAUUGAAGCCCCAGUAAACGGCGGCCGUAACUAUAACGGUCCUAAGGUAGCGAAAUUCCUUGUCGGGUAAGUUCCGACCCGCACGAAAGGCGUAACGAUUUGGGCACUGUCUCAACGAGAGACUCGGUGAAAUUUUAGUACCUGUGAAGAUGCAGGUUACCCGCGACAGGACGGAAAGACCCCAUGGAGCUUUACUGUAGUUUGAUAUUGAGUGUCUGUACCGCAUGUACAGGAUAGGUAGGAGCCGUAGAAAUCGGAACGCUAGUUUCGAUGGAGGCGCUGGUGGGAUACUACCCCUGCGUUAUG
rnacentral:rRNA from 1 species